GUGGCUGUGGCUAAGUGGUACAGUGCUUGCCUGGUAUGUAUGAGAUGCUGGGUUCCAUCCUCAGCACCACA
rnacentral:tRNA from 1 species